GGUUUCUUGGAAGGUCUGGUCUGCCCGGCAAUCUUUUCUCUUCCUGAACUCUCCUUGUGCUCAGAAUGGCUCCCCGACCACUUACAAAGUGGGUCCUGUGCGAACCAUUUUAUGUUCAUUGUCCUUUCUAGGGACUUGGCUCCAUGGAGUUCUUCAAAAGAGGAAUUAAAGACUCAGGGACCGUGCCAUUCGCUGUGCUUCUCAAAUCAUCAUCAGCUGCUUUUGAGGAUGAACAACAGAGCCCCAGGAGCUGCUCCCAUAAAUGACUUCCAAUACAUUGCGGAGAGAGACUAUUAUUCAGAUGCCUGCUAUUACACGGCCUGCACUCGGCCGUUCCACACCGCGCCUCUCCUGACUCGCUUUCAGAGAUCCACUGUCGUCAGCAAAGGGAGAGUGGGCCUGGAGCUUCCGGGAAAGUGCUCUGAGUUGGUGAAAGCUCCCGGAAUGGCAGGUCUGUCCCUCUACAUGGGGUCUGAAGGCCUUGGCUAUUUCAAAUGACUGGGCUCCCUUUACCAUCAUUCACAGUCCUGUUCUAUUCCUGAAUGAAGUCUCUACCCUGAGGCUGUGGCUACUCUCCCAGAGAGUCCUAAGUAGAGAUCUCUACACUAUCCUCGGUCAACUCGUAUGCAGGCGAUGAAAGGCCAAAAGG
rnacentral:lncRNA from 1 species